rnacentral:rRNA from 1 species
GCUACACAUGCAGUCGACGAUGAGCACCAGCUUGCUGGUGUGGAUUAGUGGCGAACGGGUGAGUAACACGUGAGUAACCUGCCCCUCACUCUGGGAUAAGCCUGGGAAACUGGGUCUAAUACUGGAUACGACCGAUCUCCGCAUGGAGUGUUGGUGGAAAGUUUUUGUGGUGGGGGAUGGACUCGCGGCCUAUCAGCUUGUUGGUGGGGUAAUGGCCUACCAAGGCGACGACGGGUAGCCGGCCUGAGAGGGCGACCGGCCACACUGGGACUGAGACACGGCCCAGACUCCUACGGGAGGCAGCAGUGGGGAAUAUUGCACAAUGGGCGAAAGCCUGAUGCAGCGACGCCGCGUGAGGGAUGACGGCCUUCGGGUUGUAAACCUCUUUCACCAGGACGAAGCUAACGUGACGGUACCUGGAGAAGAAGCACCGGCUAACUACGUGCCAGCAGCCGCGGUAAUACGUAGGUGCGAGCGUUGUCCGGAAUUAUUGGCGUAAAGAGCUUGUAGGCGGUUUGUCGCGUCUGCUGUGAAA